ACAUACUUUUGAGUGUGUAGCAAAAGAGUAUGCAAGUACUGGGACGUACGGACACGUCAUUUAAAAGAUGAGAACAUUGUUGCCUAGUUAUGCACACCGUCAUCGUAAACAAACUCCUCGUUGCGUUUCAGCUUCUCUUCAUUCAUUAUUUCUUAUAUAAUUUAUACAAGUUCAUUUAAAUUACAGUUCCUCUGAUACAUUUUUUCCGCUCACGCAAGGAGAUGUGAGCAAUAUUAGCUGAAAAAGUGUCCACACCUCGAAAAUCUACCGGAAAUAGUAGACCAUCCGGGAUACUCAUUUCAACAUGCUACGUUUUGGAGCACACUAAUUGUAAUCUUGGAUACUAUUUAGGACAGAUAAUAGGCGAAUUGGGACGCAGCAAGAGUUCUUGUUCAGGAGGUUUUGCUUUUUCACUUACUAUUCAGUAACCGUGUCAUUUUACUGAGCAGUUUUUUUCUUUUCUUAACAUGUCUGUAAUAAAGAGAAUACCAUAAUUACAAUAGUAAUAUCAAGGUUAUUUGUUAUUUUUAUUAGGCAUAUGCCACUGCACUGUUGAUUCAUUUUCUAUAAGAGCAGCUCUGCCGAUAUUUCCAGCUGCAAGGCACAUCACAGGUUUCUAUUAACGCACUUGCUACAAUUCGCUACAUUACGCAUUGUUUAUUAUUAACAGCUAUCAUCACUUCUAUGGCUCACUCUCCACAUAAUUUAAGCCUACUUAAAUUUGAAUUAAAACAAAUUAAAAAAUGUGUCGCUACUUAAGAAAUAAAAAACUUACAAUCAUUGAUUUGGUGAAGCUUUCUGUAAGCAACAUUUAUGGAAUGAGUCUCCAGUGUUAGUGUUUUAUAACAGCCAGUAAAUCGUCUACCAUGGGAAAAUCCAUGACAGAGGACAUUCUGCUUUCUGGUUUCUUGGUAACAGGACAAGCUGCAGGGGUUUAUUUUUUUGUUUGUUUUGUUUAUUAACCUCAAGAGAGAAAAAAGAGGCUGGGGAAGGAAUGAUGUUUUCCUUUUUAGCUGCUAUAACAUAAAUUAAAACAAGAAAUAAAGAGUUUCAUGGCUGUUCCAGAACCUUAAAUGUAAUUAUAAAUGGGUGUUCAUUAAUAAAUUGCACUCAUUUGCAAAUUGCGGUGGUAUAAGAGGAAUAGAACACUUAGGAGCAUGCUGUUAUUGGAAAAUAACCAACUACAGGGUGGUAACAGCAACUCCGCUUUGAAUCAGGCCACAUCACAUCAACCUGUUGUUGAUUAUUUUUCUACAACAAUGUGUUUUAUUUAUUACUUGCUACACUUUCCCUCAGUCUGUGUGCCAAACAUCUUAUCACAAGCACGAGGGUGUUUGAGAGAGUGACAAGUGAAUUACAUGAAAAAUCCACAGGGGGGAAAAAAAGAGAAAGAGCAAAUGACAAAUGCUGAGGCUCAGAGAAAGGAACAGAGAGGAAAAGGGGGUGAAGGAGAACAUGACAGAGAGAAAGACAAACAGACAGACAGGCAGACAGACAGACAGGAGGAGGAGGCAGCAGAGGUGGAGGGGAUGAUGGUUACAGGCUGAGGAAUGAAAGAGUGAAGUACACUGACAGGAGCCACUGCCUCAGAGAGUGGAAUAAAAGAUUACGCAGUCACUGCUUCCACGAAACGACUGAUAGAUUUGAACAAUAUAAAAAAGAGAGGAAGAUAAUGGGGUGAAAUGAAGAAGUCCUCAAGGCGUGGAGAUUUGCAGUUCGAUCAUUUCCCAACCAUUUCACAUCGGUUUACUUGCGGAAAAGCAUCGACAUCAUCAAACUCUUCCGUCUCCAGCCUAGGAGUUGAUGGACCCCUGGAUUAUAAGAAUUUGGAAGAUAAAAAAUGUACUAUAGGUAGUAAAAAGCCAAACAGGACCAAUACAUUUCCACAACAGGCACAACAUGUUCUCAAGGAAAUUCUGCCACCCUGUGGUGACAUGACGCAAACAAAUUGGGG